UACGUAGGGCGCAAGCGUUGUCCGGAAUUAUUGGGCGUAAAGAGCUCGUAGGCGGCCUGUCGCGUCGGUUGUGAAAGCCUGGGGGCUUAACCCCCGGGUCUGCAGUCGAUACGGGCAGGCUAGAGUUCGGUAGGGGAGAUCGGAAUUCCUGGUGUAGCGGUGGAAUGCGCAGAUAUCAGGAGGAACACCGGUGGCGAAGGCGGAUCUCUGGGCCGUAACUGACGCUGAGGAGCGAAAGCGUGGGGAGCGAACAGG
rnacentral:rRNA from 1 species